GACGAACGCUGGCGGCGUGCCUAAUACAUGCAAGUUGAGCGAUGAAGAUUGGUGCUUGCACCAAUUUGAAGAGCAGCGAACGGGUGAGUAACGCGUGGGGAAUCUGCCUUUGAGCGGGGGACAACAUUUGGAAACGAAUGCUAAUACCGCAUAACAACUUUAAACAUAAGUUUUAAGUUUGAAAGAUGCAAUUGCAUCACUCAAAGAUGAUCCCGCGUUGUAUUAGCUAGUUGGUGAGGUAAAGGCUCACCAAGGCGAUGAUACAUAGCCGACCUGAGAGGGUGAUCGGCCACAUUGGGACUGAGACACGGCCCAAACUCCUACGGGAGGCAGCAGUAGGGAAUCUUCGGCAAUGGACGAAAGUCUGGCCGAGCAACGCCGCGUGAGUGAAGAAGGUUUUCGGAUCGGAAAACUCUGUUGGUAGAGAAGAAAGAUGGUGAGAGUGGAAAGCUCAUCAAGUGACGGUAACUACCCAGAAAGGGACGGCUAACUACGUG
rnacentral:rRNA from 1 species